rnacentral:rRNA from 1 species
GUGGGGAAUCUUGCGCAAUGGGCGAAAGCCUGACGCAGCCAUGCCGCGUGAAUGAUGAAGGUCUUAGGAUUGUAAAAUUCUUUCACCGGGGACGAUAAUGACGGUACCCGGAGAAGAAGCCCCGGCUAACUUCGUGCCAGCAGCCGCGGUAAUACGAAGGGGGCUAGCGUUGCUCGGAAUUACUGGGCGUAAAGGGCGCGUAGGCGGAUCGUUAAGUCAGGGGUGACAUCCCAGAGCUCAACUCUGGAACUGCCCUUGAUACUGGCGAUCUGGAGUGUGAGAGAGGUAUGUGGAACUCCGAGUGUAGAGGUGAAAUUCGUAGAUAUUCGGAAGAACACCAGUGGCGAAGGCGACAUACUGGCUCAUUACUGACGCUGAGGCGCGAAAGCGUGGGGAGCAAACAGGAUUAGAAACCCGGGUAGUCC